UGCUUCAGGCUUAUGGGAGGCUACACUCCUGUAUGUGUGAAGGAUGAGGUAAUAGUUCCUCUAAAGUUUCAGUGCAGGAGUGAGAUAGGGAGUGGUCAGUAUUUGGUCGAGGAAGAAGAUUGGAAAUAUUAAGAGGUGGGCAUGAUUGGAAGGAUACUGCUACCUGCUGAGAGGCCCGGGAGCUCUUCUGGAGACUAUGCCCUAUCCUACGUCAUCACCUGCAGCUGGUUCCAGGCUCCAAGGAUGAAUUGGCGGGAAUGGACUUUCCCCCCUUUUUUCCCCCCUCUUUUCUAAAGCGUGU
rnacentral:lncRNA from 1 species